UGGUAUAGUGGUUAAAGCGCUUGGCUGCUAACCAAAAGGUUGGUGGUUCAAACCCACC
rnacentral:tRNA from 1 species